GAGCCCAGCAUGACUGUGGCAAUGAAUUCUGUGGAGUGCAUGGGCAACAUAUGGAAGUUUACAUUUGCAAAGCUUUAGAAGGUAGAAGAGGCGAAAGUUGUAGUCACAUCUGCUUCCUGGCUGUUUGCUUAGGCUCCUGGAUAAGAUCAAAAACAACAGCUUAUUGCAGGCAAGUAAGCACAGCUGAGCCCCAAGACAGGAGUUCUGCAACAGAGUGGAUUAAGUGUCCCAGAGAAUGGUCUGCAGAGUAGUUUGGAGAUGACAAAAUGGAUUGAAGAAGGCCUGGAAUAAAUUCCCUCUGUCUCAGAGGUAGCUCAAGAGCCAUUUUCUGAAUGAAAUUUUCCUGACCCACCGUCUUCAACUACUAAUCUGCUCCCUCCCAUACUACUUUGUAUUGAACUACUUCACAUAUACUUGCAUAACCUGAAUUUACAGUCCAACCCAGCACAUUCUGCUUGAGACUCUUAUAAUUCGUGAAGAGAAUGCUGACACAAUGCUGUGUGCCUGCCUGAGGGGCAACACUGAUUUAAGAGCUUUGGAGAGACAUUCGUUCUUCUUCAAGAAAGGACACAUAGGAUACCAUACACUUUAGAUCAGCUCUGGAUAUGUGGAGGGACAGUCAGAGUCUGAUUUUGUUCAUUUUCUAAUAUAUUCUAUUCUGUAUAAUGUCUCUGAUUUAUAUUUGCUGUUUACUUAGAUAAAUGUGUUUCCUUGCUAUUUGGGAUAGUGUUUUAUAUAACCGGUGUUGGUGGGAAGGAGAAGAAGGAGAAUGAAAAAGGAAGGGAAGCAGAAGUCAGCAGGUAGAAGCUUGUGGUAGUGCCCUCCCCCUUAAGAAUUAUUAUGAAAUAGCCCAGGACUCUGAAUCUGAGAGCCCCUGGAACAGAAACCCCCUGUAUCCCACUGACCCUAGACUGCCAGCCUUGCUUCUAAAUUACUCCCCAGAGCCAUCAUCCAGGAAAUCAGUUCUUGAGUAGAUGUGCUCUGGCUACUGCUUUGGUGGGUAUUGAAGUUCCUGUCUUCUCAGCAAGCAGCCACCACUACUGAAAACAAACAAACAAAACCAAAAAAAAAAAAAAAGGAAGAAAAAAGAAGAAGAAAAGAAAAAAGAAAAAAAAGGAAAUUCUUAGCACCAGAUUCCUUGGUACUAUUAAAUGGUUCAAUGUGAGAAAUGAAUACGGUUUUAUCAGUGGAAAUAAUGUGAAAGAAAAUAGAUUGUCAUUUGCUUCAUUGCUAAACUCUAAUGACCAUGGAGACUUUCCAUCUGACUUAUAGCUAAAACCUCCUAUAUGU